rnacentral:rRNA from 1 species
UACGUAGGGGAGCAAGCGUUGUCCGGAAUCAUUGGGGCGUAAAAGCGCGCGUAGGUGGCCAUUUUAAGUCCGCUGUGAAAAGUCAAAAGGCUCAACCUUUUGAAAAGCCGGUGGAUACUGGAUGGCUAGAGUACGGAAGAGGCGAGUGGAAUUCCUGGUGUAGCGGGUGGAAUGCGCAGAUAUCAGGAGGAACACCAAUAGCGAAGGCAGCUCGCUGGGGACGUUUACUGACGCUGAGACGCGAAAGCGUGGGGGGAGCGAACAGGG